rnacentral:lncRNA from 1 species
AGCCAUGGCAGGUGCUGACCUGGUGCUUGGCUCUGUGGAAAUGGCUGCCAGAUGUGCUGUGGCUGUUAUUUAUUUUUUGAACACGAAGUAGCUCUCUGCCUCACUCAUGGCCUUCCUAUGUUUGGGAAAGCAUAUGGAAAGCAAACCUGUUUUCCCAUUUGUGAAGAGGGUUUGAGUUUCCACAUGGCUGAUCCCUGUGCUUGGGGUACCCAGAACAGGGCUCCCUGGGGGCUGGUGGAGGGGCCCUACGCUAACUCAGAUAUCUGGGAAAAUUCUGGUUGGGGUUCAUUCUUUCAACAAAUAUACAUUGAGCACCUACUUUGUGCAGGUACUUUUCUGCCUGCAGAAGGCACUCCCUGGGGAUUGUCUGAAUUCUAGCUGGGGAGUCAUGGGUGCACUAGACAUCAUAAGCAGGCUGCGUCCACAGUAUGUUGACAUUGUGAUGUCCUCCUGGCCUCUUCCAGAUACACAUGCAUCCUGCCAUAUUCUGACAGAGAUGAUGGACCUCAGGAUCAACUAAAAAUGUCAGUGGACUUCAGGUCUAGAAGGACAGGCUCCUGUUUCCCCAGAACAGUUGGGGGCAUAUGGGAGUCUGUGGCUGGGGAGGGG